rnacentral:misc_RNA from 1 species
UCUCCGUUGGUGAACCAGCGAAGGGAUCAUUACCGAGUUAUCAACUCCCAAACCCCUGUGAACAUACCCAACGUUGCUUUGGCGGGACCGCCCCGGCGCCCUCGGCGUCCCGGAACCAGGCGCCCGCCGGAGGACCCAAACUCUUGUUUAAACCAUAGUGGCAUAUUCUGAGUCUCACAAGAAAAAUGAAUCAAAACUUUCAACAACGGAUCUCUUGGCUCUG